UACGUAGGGUGCAAGCGUUUGUCCGGAAUUAUUGGGCGUAAAGAGCUCGUAGGCGGUUUGUCGCGUCGAAUGUGAAAACCCGGGGGCUCAACCCCGGGCCUGCAUUCGAUACGGGCAGACUAGAGUUCGGUAGGGGGAGUCUGGAAUUCCUGGUGUAGCGGUGAAAUGCGCAGAUAUCAGGAGGAACACCGGUGGCGAAGGCGGGACUCUGGGCCGAUACUGACGCUGAGGAGCGAAAGCGUGGGGAGCAAACAGG
rnacentral:rRNA from 1 species